rnacentral:rRNA from 1 species
AGAGUUUGAUCAUGGCUCAGGACGAACGCUGGCGGCGUGCUUAACACAUGCAAGUCGAACGAUGAUCCGGCUUCGGUCGGUGAUUAGUGGCGAACGGGUGAGUAACACGUGGGUAAUCUGCCCUGCACUCUGGGAUAAGCCCGGGAAACUGGGUCUAAUACCGGAUAUGACCUUCGGUCGCAUGAUCGUUGGUGGAAAGCUUUUGCGGUGUGGGAUGGGCCCGCGGCCUAUCAGCUUGUUGGUGGGGUGAUGGCCUACCAAGGCGACGACGAGUAGCCGGCCUGAGAGGGUGACCGGCCACACUGGGACUGAGACACGGCCCAGACUCCUACGGGAGGCAGCAGUGGGGAAUAUUGCACAAUGGGCGCAAGCCUGAUGCAGCGACGCCGCGUGAGGGAUGACGGCCUUCGGGUUGUAAACCUCUUUCAGCAGGGAAGAAGCGCAAGUGACGGUACCUGCAGAAGAAGCACCGGCUAACUACGUGCCAGCAGCCGCGGUAAUACGUAGGGUGCAAGCGUUGUCCGGAAUUAUUGGGCGUAAAGAGCUCGUAGGCGGCUUGUCGCGUCGGUUGUGAAAGCCAGGGGCUUAACCCUGGGUCUGCAGUCGAUACGGGCAGGCUAGAGUUCGGUAGGGGAGACUGGAAUUCCUGGUGUAGCGGUGAAAUGCGCAGAUAUCAGGAGGAACACCGGUGGCGAAGGCGGGUCUCUGGGCCGAUACUGACGCUGAGGAGCGAAAGCGUGGGGAGCGAACAGGAUUAGAUACCCUGGUAGUCCACGCUGUAAACGGUGGGAACUAGGUGUGGGCAGCAUUCCACGUUGUCUGUGCCGUAGCUAACGCAUUAAGUUCCCCGCCUGGGGAGUACGGCCGCAAGGCUAAAACUCAAAGGAAUUGACGG